rnacentral:lncRNA from 1 species
AUUGCUUUCAUCGAGCUUUGGAAACUGUACACAGACUCUAAUUGUCCGUUUGGGGCACAAGACAGUGGAAAGUUGCUGACUUGAAGCGACCAUGGGAAACGAGCAUUCAACUCAGGAAAAACGGCAGAAGGCAAAUGCUGAGAAAAAAGUCCAAAAUGGAGAGCUGAAUGGACAUGCAGUAGCAGCUCCAGAUGAAACUGAACCUGGUAUGUAUAUGAUUUACUGCACAUUUAUUCUGUUCAUGUGAUUAAAUU